rnacentral:rRNA from 1 species
AUUGAACGCUGGCGGCAGGCUUAACACAUGCAAGUCGAACGAGUGGCGGACGGGUGAGUAAUGCUUGGGAAUCUGGCCUAUGGAGGGGGAUAACGACGGGAAACUGUCGCUAAUACCGCGUACCAUCGGAUGAGCCCAAGUGGGAUUAGGUAGUCGGGGGGGUAAUGGCCUACCAAGCCGACGAUCUCUAGCUGGUCUGAGAGGAUUAUCAGCCACACCUGGACUGAGACCCGGCCCGGAAUACUACGGUAGGCAGCAGGGGGGAAUAUUGCACAAUGGGGGCAACCUGACGCAGCCAUGCCGCGUGAAUGAAGAAGGCCUUAGGGUUGUAAAGUGCUUUCGGUGACGAGGCGUUAAUCACAGAAGAAGCACCGGCUAACUCCGUGCCAGCAGCCGCGGUAAUUC